AACUACAGGAAGUGUUUAUUUUAAAUGAAAGUGUCUUCAGCUGUGAGGCUCUGUGUUGCUGCUCAGGUCCAGUCCAAAAAGGCUAGGCAGCGCCUGUACCAUCUUUGACAACUGAGGAAGUUCGGGGUCUCUCCAGUGAUCUACAGGAUUUUCUAUGCAGAAGUUACUGAAAUCCAGGAAAUAAAGGAAACAUAGCUUGUACAUCUCAGUCAGCAGUGGAGUUUGUCAGGAGGGCCAGACUCAACCUGGUGAGAACAUUAAAGAGGCUCACUGCUGUGAUUGUGGAGAAUCUCUACCAGAAAGAAGUUUUCUCAGAGGAAGAAGUCAGUA